AACUGCUGGAAAUUGGAAAGAAAUUGAUCUGUAAGCACAGAAGGAACAAGUUGGAUAAAAGAUUCAAAUACUAUGAAGCAUUUGAAAAAGAAUUGAGGGAUUUUUUGGGACAUCUUGGAGCUGCAGUUGGCAGUGUUGUCGGAAUGUCAGUUGAAAUAAUUGGGGAAAUUAUU